AUUGAACGCUGGCGGCAGGCCUAACACAUGCAAGUCGAACGAGUGGCGGACGGGUGUGUAAUGUCUGGGAAACUGCCUGAUGGAGGGGGAUAUCCACUGGAAACGGUCUCUAAUACCGCAUACUAUCGGAUGUGCCCAGAUGGGAUUAGCUUGUUGGUGGGGUCAGGGCGCACCAAGGCGACGAUCCCUAGCUGGUCUGAGAGGAUGACCAGCCACACUGGAACUGAGACACGGUCCAGACUCCUACGGGAGGCAGCAGUGGGGAAUAUUGCACAAUGGGCGCAAGCCUGAUGCAGCCAUGCCGCGUGUAUGAAGAAGGCCUUCGGGUUGUAAAGUACUUUCAGCGGGGAGGCGUUACCCGCAGAAGAAGCACCGGCUAACUCCGUGCCAGCAGCCGCGGUAAUUC
rnacentral:rRNA from 1 species